rnacentral:rRNA from 1 species
GCAUAUCAAUAAGCGGAGGAAAAGAAAAUAACAAUGAUUCCCCUAGUAACGGCGAGUGAAGAGGGAUUAGCUCAAAUUUAAAAUCUGCUGGGUUUUACCUAUCAGAGUUGUAAUUUAAAGAGGCGUUUUCCGCGUCAUUGUUGGUCCAAGUCCUUUGGGAUAAGGUAUCAUGGAGGGUGAGAAUCCCGUCCGACUAACAUCAUGAUGUUUUACGAUACGCUUUCAAAGAGUCGAGUUGUUUGGGAUUGCAGCUCAAAAUGGGAGGUAAAUUUCUCCUAAGGCUAAAUAUUGGCGAGAGACCGAUAGCGAACAAGUACCGUGAGGGAAAGAUGAAAAGAACUUUGAAAAGAGAGUUAAAAAGUACGUGAAAUUGUUGAAAGGGAAACGAUUGAAGUCAGUCGUACCGACGAGAAAUCAGCUUUUCGAAUGUGCAUUUGUGGGCGUAUGAGAUCUUCAUUGUUUGCAAUAUGCGUAUUUUUUUGGUGUACUUUUUCGUAUGGUAGGUCAACGUCGGUUUUGGUCGCCAUAAAAUGAUCGGAGGAAUGUAGCUUCGGCUUCGGUUGAAGUGUUAUAGCCUUUGGUAAAUGUGGUGAUUAAGACCGAGGAUUGCAACGAAUACCUUUUAGGCUAUCCGUCUGACCUCUGAAAGUUACUUAGGUGCCGAAAGCUUGCUUACGGUCAUUUAAGUUGACGGUCAAUAGGUUAGAACGUGAUUACAUUCGUUAAGGACGUUGACGUAAUGGCUUUAAACGAC